rnacentral:sRNA from 2 species
AAACCGGUAACGCUGAAUUCUCUUCGGAGAAGCGGGGAAACCAAUUUUUGGGGUGAAUCCCGGCGCUCGAAACGUUCGGCAAGGCUGUGAGGCACACCUGCGGGCGGUGCCGCCGAAUGGGCAGCAUUAACAGAGUUGCCGGGUAGGGUUACCUUGCGACCCGAACCCGUCAGCUAACCUCGUAAGCGUAGGAAGGAAGGCCA